UACGUAGGGUGCAAGCGUUAAUCGGAAUUACUGGGCGUAAAGCGUGCGCAGGCGGCUUUGCAAGACAGAUGUGAAAUCCCCGGGCUCAACCUGGGAACUGCAUUUGUGACUGCAAGGCUAGAGUACGGUAGAGGGGGAUGGAAUUCCGCGUGUAGCAGUGAAAUGCGUAGAUAUGCGGAGGAACACCGAUGGCGAAGGCAAUCCCCUGGACCUGUACUGACGCUCAUGCACGAAAGCGCGGGGAGCAAACAGG
rnacentral:rRNA from 1 species